CACGUAGGGUGCGAGCGUUGUCCGGAAUUAUUGGGCGUAAAGAGCUCGUAGGCGGUGUGUCGCGUCGGCCGUGAAAACCUGCAGCUUAACUGUGGGCUUGCGGUCGAUACGGGCAUCACUGGAGUUCGGCAGGGGAGACUGGAAUUCCUGGUGUAGCGGUGAAAUGCGUAGAUAUCUGGAGGAACACCGGUGGCGAAGGCGGCAUCCUGGACCGGUAUUGACGCUGAGGCGCGAAAGCUAGGGGAGCGAACGGG
rnacentral:rRNA from 1 species